rnacentral:rRNA from 1 species
UCUGGUUGAUCCUGCCAGUAGUCAUAUGCUGUCUCAAAGAUUAAGCCAUGCAUGUCUAAGUAUAAGCAAUUUAUACAGUGAAACUGCGAAUGGCUCAUUAAAUCAGUUAUCGUUUAUUUGAUAGUUUCUUUACUACAUGGAAUACCUGUGGUAAUUCUAGAGCUAAUACAUGCUUAAAAUCCCAACUUACGAAGGGAUGUAUUUAUUAGAUAAAAAAUCAAUGUCUUCGGACUUCUGAUGAUUCAUAAUAACUUUUCGAAUCGCAUGGCUUUAUGCUGGCGAUGGUUCAUUCAAAUUUCUGCCCUAUCAACUUUUGAUGGUAGGAUAGUGGCCUACCAUGGUUUCAACGGGUAACGGGGAAUAAGGGUUCGAUUCCGGAGAGGGAGCCUGAGAAACGGCUACCACAUCCAAGGAAGGCAGCAGGCGCGCAAAUUACCCAAUCCUAAUUCAGGGAGGUAGUGACAAUAAAUAACGAUACAGGGCUUUAUGUCUUGUAAUUGGAAUGAGUACAAUUUAAAUACCUUAACGAGGAACAAUUGGAGGGCAAGUCUGGUGCCAGCAGCCGCGGUAAUUCCAGCUCCAAUAGCGUAUAUUAAAGUUGUUGCAGUUAAAAAGCUCGUAGUUGAACUUUGGGCUUGGAGAAUCGGUCCAACUUUGUUGUGUACUGUCUUCUCCAGGUCUUUCCUUCUGGUUCUCAUUUGGGGUUUACUCCAUUUGUUGAUCCAGGAUUUUUACUUUGAAAAAAUUAGAGUGUUCAAAGCAGGCGUUUUGCUCGAAUAUAUUAGCAUGGAAUAAUAGAAUAGGACGAUUGGUUCUAUUUUGUUGGUUUCUAGGACCAUCGUAAUGAUUAAUAGGGACGGUCGGGGGCAUCAGUAUUCAGUUGUCAGAGGUGAAAUUCUUGGAUUUACUGAAGACUAACUACUGCGAAAGCAUUUGUCAAGGACGUUUUCAUUAAUCAAGAACGAAAGUUAGGGGAUCGAAGAUGAUCAGAUACCGUCGUAGUCUUAACCAUAAACUAUGCCGACUAGGGAUCGGGCGGUGCCUUUUAUGGCCCACUCGGCACCUUACGAGAAAUCAAAGUUUUUGGGUUCUGGGGGGAGUAUGGUCGCAAGGCUGAAACUUAAAGGAAUUGACGGAAGGGCACCACCAGGAGUGGAGCCUGCGGCUUAAUUUGACUCAACACGGGGAAACUCACCAGGUCCAGACACAAUAAGGAUUGACAGAUUGAGAGCUCUUUCUUGAUUUUGUGGGUGGUGGUGCAUGGCCGUUCUUAGUUGGUGGAGUGAUUUGUCUGCUUAAUUGCGAUAACGAACGAGACCUUA